rnacentral:lncRNA from 1 species
GAAGAUCAGAAGUCUGAGUUGAAAAUUGAGGAUUCUGGUAAGGGUGAGGUCCUCGAGAUUGAUGACGGGGCUGGUGAGGAGGAUGAAAAGGUUAUGGAGGGCAGAAAAUCAUGUCCAGACAUAGAAACAGAACAGAACCUUGAACCUGAGAGAACAUUUGAAGUACCACAGGCUGACCAGGCAGACUCUUCCGGUCAAGUGGACGAAGAUCAGAAGUCGGAGUUGACAAUCGUGGAUUCUGGUGAGCGUGAGGUCAGCAAGAUUGAUGAUGGGACUGGUAAUGAGGAUGAAAAGGUUGUGGAGGAGAGAAAAUCAUGUCCAGACAUAGAUACGGAACAGAACCAUGAACCUGAGAGAACAUUUGAGGUCCUACAGGACAACCAGGCGGACUCUUCUGGUCAAGUGGACGAAGAUCAGAAGUCUGAGUUGAAAAUUGAGGAUUCUGGUAAGGGUGAGGUCCUCAAGAUUGAUGACGGGGCUGGUGAGGAGGAUGAAAAGGUUAUGGAGGACAGAAAAUCAUGUCCAGACAUAGAAACAGAACAGAACCUUGAACCUGAGAGAACAUUAGAAGUCCCACAGGCAGACCAUGCAGACUCUUCUGGUCAAGUGGACGAAGAUCAGAAGUCAGAGUUGACAAUCGUGGAUUCUGGUGAGCGUGAGGUCAGCAAGAUUGAUGACGGGGCUGGUAACA